UACGAAGGGGGCUAGCGUUGCUCGGAAUCACUGGGCGUAAAGCGCACGUAGACGGAUUUUUAAGUCAGGGGUGAAAUCCUGGAGCUCAACUCCAGAACUGCCUUUGAUACUGGGAAUCUCGAGUCCGGAAGAGGUGAGUGGAACUGCGAGUGUAGAGGUGAAAUUCGUAGAUAUUCGCAAGAACACCAGUGGCGAAGGCGGCUCACUGGUCCGGUACUGACGCUGAGGUGCGAAAGCGUGGGGAGCAAACAGG
rnacentral:rRNA from 1 species